rnacentral:tRNA from 1 species
CGGGCGAUAGCGCAGCGGGAGCGCAGCGGUGCAAGCCGCAGGUCACCGGUUCGAAUCCGGUUCGCCCCC